CUUGUCGAACUUCUCUUUCGACUUCACUUGCUGGUUCUUCACAUAAGAUUCUCACUGAAUCCUUCUUUACAUUUUCAGUCCAAUCCCAUUCCUUAAGCUCAUCUAUGUCCCUGUUGAUCACUACUUGCUUUUUCACUGGGUCGAAUAACUUGUAACCUCCAGUGAAAUGAUAUCCUAUUAGGAUCAUCUAACUCGACUUGUCAUCAAGCUUUC
rnacentral:lncRNA from 1 species